GUAGGUGGCAAGCGUUGUCCGGAAUUAUUGGGCGUAAAGCGCGCGCAGGCGGUUCUUUAAGUCCGAUGUGAAAGCCCACGGCUCAACCGUGGAGGGUCAUUGGAAACUGGAGAACUUGAGUACAGAAGAGGAAAGCGGAAUUCCACGUGUAGCGGUGAAAUGCGUAGAGAUGUGGAGGAACACCAGUGGCGAAGGCGGCUUUCUGGUCUGUAACUGACGCUGAGGCGCGAAAGCGUGGGGAGCAAACAGGGAUUAGAUACCCUGGUAGUCCACGCCGUAAACGAUGAGUGCUAAGUGUUAGGGGGGUUUCCGCCCCCUUAGUGCUGCAGCUAACGCAUUAAGCACUCCGCCUGGGGAGUACGGCCGCAAGGCUG
rnacentral:rRNA from 1 species